rnacentral:rRNA from 1 species
CGUAAAGCGAGCGCAGACGGUUGAUUAAGUCUGAUGUGAAAGCCCGGAGCUCAACUCCGGAAUGGCAUUGGAAACUGGUUAACUUGAGUGCAGUAGAGGUAAGUGGAACUCCAUGUGUAGCGGUGGAAUGCGUAGAUAUAUGGAAGAACACCAGUGGCGAAGGCGGCUUACUGGACUGUAACUGACGUUGAGGCUCGAAAGUGUGGGUAGCAAACAGGAUUAGAUACCCUGGUAGUCCACACCGUAAACGAUGAACACUAGGUGUUAGGAGGUUUCCGCCUCUUAGUGCCGAAGCUAACGCAUUAAGUGUUCCGCCUGGGGAGUACGACCGCAAGGUUGAAACUCAAAGGAAUUGACGGGGACCCGCACAAGCGGUGGAGCAUGUGGUUUAAUUCGAAGCAACGCGAAGAACCUUACCAGGUCUUGACAUCCUUUGAAGCUUUUAGAGAUAGAAGUGUUCUCUUCGGAGACAAAGUGACAGGUGGUGCAUGGUCGUCGUCAGCUCGUGUCGUGAGAUGUUGGGUUAAGUCCCGCAACGAGCGCAACCCUUAUUGUUAGUUGCCAGCAUUCAGAUGGGCACUCUAGCGAGACUGCCGGUGACAAACCGGAGGAAGGCGGGGACGACGUCAGAUCAUCAUGCCCCUUAUGACCUGGGCUACACACGUGCUACAAUGGCGUAUACAACGAGUUGCCAACCCGCGAGGGUGAGCUAAUCUCUUAAAGUACGUCUCAGUUCGGAUUGUAGUCUGCAACUCGACUACAUGAAGUCGGAAUCGCUAGUAAUCGCGGAUCAGCACGCCGCGGUGAAUACGUUCCCGGGUCUUGUACACACCGCCCGUCACACCAUGGGAGUUUGUAAUGCCCAAAGCCGGUGGCCUAACCUUUUAGGAAGGAGCCGUCUAAGGCAGGACAGAUGACUGGGGUGAAGUCGUAACAAGAGGC